CGCGCGGGUAGGGCUGGGGGCUCGCCCUCCCCCGAGCCCCGAAAUGGGCGUAAUGCGGGGGCCAGUAACCCGCACGCUGGCCACGGCGGUCCACGGCAGACCCGGCCGACCAAUGACCCCCGUCCCGCGGGGCCGGCGGCGGCGGAGCCCCCUCCGGAGGGAGGGAGGCUACCGCCCUUACCGGGGGAAACAGGCCAGGCCCGGAAGGGAGCAACCUAACCCCGGACGCCCGGCGUUCGCGGGGGUGCGGGGUGAGGCAACGGCCGGGCCCCCUGCCGCGGCGCCGUCGUGGCUGGCGUGCGGGGGCCGCGCG
rnacentral:SRP_RNA from 1 species